GGCUGCGUAGUGUAACGGUUAUCACAUCAGAUUCUGACUUUCCUUUUCUGGGGACCCCGGUUCGACUCCGGGCGCGGCCU